rnacentral:rRNA from 1 species
UACGAAGGGGGCUAGCGUUGCUCGGAAUCACUGGGCGUAAAGGGUGCGUAGGCGGGUCUUUAAGUCAGGGGUGAAAUCCUGGAGCUCAACUCCAGAACUGCCUUUGAUACUGCCGAUCUUGAGUCCGGGAGAGGUGAGUGGAACUCCGAGUGUAGAGGUGAAAUUCGUAGAUAUUCGGAAGAACACCAGUGGCGAAGGCGGCUCACUGGCCCGGUACUGACGCUGAGGUGCGAAAGCGUGGGGAGCAAACAGG